GAUGAACGCUGGCGGCGUGCUUAACACAUGCAAGUCGAACGAUGAAGCCCAGCUUGCUGGGUGGAUUAGUGGCGAACGGGUGAGUAACACGUGAGUAACCUGCCCUUAACUCUGGGAUAAGCCUGGGAAACUGGGCGUAGUACAGGCCGGAAGCGUUCUCGAAACGGAGGGUGUUGUAAUGAUUGAUGGUUUUGGGAUGGACUCGCGGCCUAUCCGCUUGUCGGUGAGGUAUUGGUUAACCAAGGGGACGACGGGUAGCCGGCCUGAGAGGGUGACCGGCCACACUGGGACUGAGACACGGCCCAGACUCCUACGGGAGGCAGCAGUGGGGAAUAUUGCACAAUGGGCGCAAGCCUGAUGCAGCGACGCCGCGUGCGGGAUGACGGCCUUCGGGUUGUAAACCUCUUUCAGUAGGGAAGAAGCGAAAGUGACGGUACCUGCAGAAGAAGCACCGGCUAACUACGUG
rnacentral:rRNA from 1 species